CCAAACCACGUACUAAAACUUCACACUACAAGGUCAUGGGACUUCAUGGGUUUCUUCUAGGGCAAACUUGGAGCUUCUCAGGAAGGAGAUGCCAUUAUAGGUCUUCUGGACUCAGGUUUAAAUUCGAUAAUCAUUUGAAUCACAAUGAGAAACAAUUCAAGAAGAUAUGCUAAUAUGAAGUUUUUCAAUGUCUUCAUAUUACAGGAAUCUGGCCAGAAUCUGAGAGUUUCAAUGAUAAAGGAAUGAGUGCUCCCCCUGCUAAAUGGAAUGGAACAUGCCAAGGUGCCAACUUCACCUGCAACAAGUGAGCUCCUUUCCUGCCCUUUACUACACAGUUAACACCAUGAACUACCAUGCCAUGGAUCCCCUCAUAAUUUUGGGAACAAGAAAAAAAUAUUUUAAUUGAAAUUUUGAACUGCAGCAAGAUCAUUGGAGCCCGGUAAUACAACAGCGAGAACUGGUACGACACCACUGACAUCAAGUCGCCUAGAGACACUGAUGGACAUGGAACCCAUACUUCUUCAACUGCAGCUGAUCGGGAGGUGCAAGGAGCAAGCUAAUUCGGGCAAGCUGAAGGAAUAGCAAGAUGUGGAGUUCCCAAAGUGAGGAUUGCUGUGUACAAAGUUUGCUGGUCCUUCGGAUAUCCAAGUGCAGAUAUCCUCGCUGCAUUUGAUGAUGCCAUUGCAGAUGGUGUUGACAUAAUAUCUGUAUCCCUAGGAUCUGAAUGGCCAUCCCCAUAUUUUGACGACACAAUCGCCAUUCGAUCCUAUCAUGCCAUGAGAUAUGGUAUACUAACCUCAAAUUCUGGACCCAAUCCAUAUUCAGUCUGCAAUUUCGCAUCAUGGACACUGACUGUAGCUGCCAGCACCAUUGACAGGAAAUUUCUUACACAAGUUGUUCAGGGCAACGGACAAGUCUUCACAGUGAGUUUAUGAUUGCUUCUACAUCAUUAACAACAGUACUUUGAUAAAUCUUUUGCUUAUGACAUGUAUAUUUGUUCUUUGAUUAUUUUGAAAUGGGACUCUCCAUUAAUAGCUUUGACCUCAAUGGAAGCACAUAUCCUUUGAUUUUGGGAGGAGAUGCAGCAAACUACUCUGCAGAUGCUAACACAGACACUACACGAUAUUGCGUGACUGGUGCCAUGAAUUCAUACAAAGUAUCAGGAAAGAUGGUCUUCUGUGAAGCUCUCUCUGAUGGAUCUGGCAUUCUAAUAGCCAAUGGUGCGGGCACAAUACUGGCUGAUUCAUUUAUAACUGAUUUUGCUUCCAAUUAUCCCCUACUAGCAACUCAAAUCAGCACAAAAUAUGGCCUUGAAAUUUUGAAUUAUAUUAAAUCAACAGAGUAAGAUCUCGACACAUUUCUUUUCCUCUUGUUACCGGCAUCAUAACUUAACAAUUCCUUGGACCUGUUGUUUAACAAAAAUAACAAAUUUUCAGGAAACCAUUCGCAACCAUUCUAGUUGGAGACUUGGAAGGUUAUCAUGGCUCCUUCUAUUGUAUCAUUCUCUUCAAGAGGACGGAACCCUAUCACCCCAGAUAUUCUAAAGGUAAUGAAGAAAUCUGAAAGUUUUGAUUUAUAGCAUUGCUGCUUGUGCCUUUGUCUGAGAACCCUUCGAAAUUUUGCUUGGGUGAUAUGCAGCCUGAUCUUACUGCCCCUGGCGCGGACACACUUGCUGCCUGGUGUCCUCUGGCACCACCUUCAAUCUACUUGGACGACUCCAGAAGAGUGAAGUUUAGCAUAAUCUCGGGCACAUCCAUGUCUUGCCCACACGCUACUGGUGCUGCAGCCUAUGUCAAGGCAGCCCAUCCCGACUGGUCUACUGCUGCCAUUAAAUCUGGACUCAUGACAACAGGUGAUGAAAUGUUUUCCCCUGUUUUUAGGUACAUUUUGUUGGACAAAAAAAGACUAACAAAGCUAAAAGAAAUUAAUUUAGCAUCCUCAUCAAAGUUGUUCUUUGUUUCCAUAAACAGCUUAUAUCAUAGAGUCCAGGAAGCACCCAGACCUCGAAUUUGCUUACGGAUCUGGUCAUAUCAAUCCACUAGAAGCAACAGAUCCUGGGCUUGUUUAUGAUGCAUCCGAAGAAGAUUACAUUAACUUCCUUUGCAAACAGGGCUACAACACAACCAUUCUUAGACUGAUCACCGGCGACAAUAGUAGUGUGUGCAAAAGCACCGAGCCAGAAAGAGCCAGGGAUCUCAACUAUCCCACAUUUGCGCUAGCUGUGGAAGAUGGCCAGCCAAUUAAGGGAGCGUUUACAAGGACAGUUACCAAUGUUGGUUCACCGAAUUCAACCUACACUGUUAGCAUGUACAUACCUAACUCUGUCAUGGUUAUCGUGGAGCCCUCUAUCCUAUCAUUCUCUGCCAUUGGAGAGAAGAAAACAUUCACCAUGACGGUCUACGGGCCAAAGAUUGCACAACUGCCAAUCAUGCCUGGUGCAAUCAUGUGGAAAGAUGGGAUUCACGUUGUGAGAAGUCCAGUAGUUGUGUACAAUAUUCUACCUGGUUCUGCCUACUCUUCAUUUUCCAUGCCCCAGAAAACACUUAAAUUCCAAGGUCCUUCCAUGCAUCACAAAAGUGGUGUCCUUGGACAAAUAAACCCCUGGUCAUGAUUUUUUUUUUAUAUAUAUAUUUUGUUAAACAGAAACGGUUAUUAUCAUAGAACUAACAAUAAUAAUAUAACUCUGCUUAUUCACUUGUGGACUUCCUAUUUUGCUAUGUAAUUUUGAAUAUAUUUGUUAGUAGAAUUUGUUGACUAAAGACUACCAUGAAUGGUUUUGAAGUGUUUGUCGUUGAGAAGGAAUUACAAUAACAAUUUCAGUGUGCAUUUGUGACCUCAAUUCCUGGUCAUUCAGUGGGACACCUUCCCCCACGAAAGCAGCAAACCCAAACCCCAUGACUUUCUAGCGCCAACGCCUACUUCAACAAGACAACUACACCAAAAUGUCAUUUUAAAUGCCUUUUAUUUGGCAAAUCUUGAGUUCUAUAUUUUUUCAUGAUAGAUUCAAUUCUCUUAGUGACCCUUUUCCCUUUGCAAAUUGUCAGUCAUGUUAUCAACACAUUUACGGCAAAAUCACACAAGACUUGCUAACUGGUAGACCCUAUAUUGCUUCCAGAAUAUGGUCUAUUAGGGGUAACAAGGGCUUCAUCAAGUGCUAAAUGGAAAACAAGCAAAUAUGUGACACUUGAAAAUAUCAUGUGGGCACAAAACAGGUCAAAAGAUAUCACUAUGCCAGCGACCUAAUAUUAUUAUAUACCAUAAUACCACACAAUUAUCUCCAUUUAAGAACAAAAUCCUAUCUGGCCAUCCCCAAAUGUUGAAGAUAAAGAAUCAGAAGACCUUUUGUACCAAAUCUACUAAAUUAGCAAAAAACAGUUUCUGAAUGUUCUGCAACCAUCAGAGAGAUAUCCUCUACGAACAUAUUGAUCACAAUAUCUACAUGGUAUGCCUCAUCAUCAAGGUUCUAUGACUCCAAAAUCAGGGGUUUUUUUUUU
rnacentral:misc_RNA from 1 species